rnacentral:lncRNA from 1 species
GGAGGGGAGGAGAGGGGGGAGGGGAGGAGAGGGACGGGAAGGAUGGGGAGGGGAAGGAUGGGGGAGGGGAAGGAGGGGGAGGGGGGAGGGGGAGAGGGAGGAAAGGGACAGGAAGGAUGGGGAGGGGAAGGAGGGGGACCGGACGGGAAGGAGGGGGGAGGGGGGAGUGGGAGGGGAGGUCCUCUCACCUGCAGUGACGCACUACAACCGGAAGGCGUUGCAGAAACUGCAAACUCUAAGUUCCUGGGGUAACGUGCUGGUUUGCUGGGGCGCGACAGCUCCUCGGCUGUUCGGCUGUUCCUUCCUUUCGCACCCCCGAACCUCAAAGCCGCGCAUCCGUGCGGAGCCAGGAGGGCCGCGCAAGGUCACGCAGGUCACGCAGGGGCCACCUCCUCCGCGGCCCUCCACGGUGCGGAACCCCGGAAGAAUCGGUGCAAUCGUCUUCGAUCCCAAAACCUCCACGGUCCUGGCAGGCGGCGCCGAAGGUCUUCCCGACGGAGGUCGCAAGUAGGUUCUGGAAGUCCUCGCGGCGGCCCUGGACCGCAAGCCUUCGGCGAGGCCCAGGCUGAGGAGAAGCGUUGGCGCCUGCGCACUGCAGCGCGGCGGCCCGCGGGCGCACACAUGGCGCCGCCCGGCCGCGUGGCCCCCGAGCGCGCGUGAGGGGACUUCCGGGGUCGCGCCCUCACACCAGGCCUCGGACGCCGGCAGAGCUUGUCAGCGGGGCGCCUCUCCCCCGACCCCGGCCCCGUGGGCAGGACUCUAAGAAAUUUUGGACCAAGAAUGAAGUUGAGGAGUGUUGUGGUAUCAAUAGAUCUUGUGAUUUGUUGGGGCUGCUAUUUCUCAGCUUGGCAUACAUAUUCACGAAAGUAUAUUCAGAAGAUGAGAAGUAACAAGAUGGAAACCUGCCUUCAGAGUUGUACUUUGCUUAACAAAAGAGGAAUGGGGAUCCCUGGGUGGCGCAGCGGUUUAGCGCCUGCCUUUGGCCCAGGGCGUGAUCCUGGAGACCCGGGAUCGAAUCCCACAUCGGGCUCCCGGUGCAUGGAGCCUGUUUCUCCCUCUGCCUGUGUCUCUGCCUCUCUCGCUCUCUCUGUGUGACUAUCAUAAAUAAAUAAAAACUUAAAAAAAAAACAAAAAAAAAACAAAAGAGGAAUGAAAUAUGUUACACCCACAUUUGUGUGGUCAUUGUGUUUUUUUUGUGUGU